UUCGCAAUGCCCGAAAGGGUGACGAAGCGACGCCGCGUGCGGGAAGAAGGCCUUCGGGUUGUAAACCGCUGUCGGGAGUUAAGAAAUGCAAGGAUAUUAAUAGUGUCUUUGCUUGACUAAGGCUCCGGAGGAAGCCACGGCUAACUCUGUGCCAGCAGCCGCGGUAAUACAGAGGCGGCAAGCGUUGUUCGGAAUUAUUGGGCGUAAAGAGCACGUAGGCGGCUAUGUAAGUCGGUUGUGAAAGCCUUCCGCUCAACGGGAGAACAGCAUCCGAUACUGCAUGGCUUGAGUGCGGGAGGGGAGAGUGGAACUUCUGGUGGAGCGGUGAAAUGCGUAGAUAUCAGAAGGAACGCCGGCGGCGAAAGCGGCUCUCUGGCCCGUAACUGACGCUGAGUGUGCGAAAGCUAGGGGAGCAAACGGGAUUAGAUACCCCGGUAGUCCUAGCCGUAAACGAUGGGCACUAAGUAGAGGGGUUU
rnacentral:rRNA from 1 species